rnacentral:misc_RNA from 1 species
CUGUCUAUUGUACUCGCGGCAGAAGAAAAUGGACACGCUCACGUCUGUUAUUGGGUCAGUGGACUCGGUGGACGCGCUGGACCUUACAUUGCUCCUCCAUGGGCUCAGCACCUUGGACGAGGUGCGGCAGAUCGUAGAGGUGCUGCUGGAUGCGUACAACAGCCACAGCGGCACGCCCCGGGAGAUGCUUCAGAAGCAGUGCGUAAUGCGCAGCCUUGCGGAGGUGCUAGAGUUCGCGCAUGAGCGUUACACACGCACAGCGGAUGCGUCUGCAUCACCCGUGACUUGUACGUUUUGGCGAAACCAAGCUGACGGGGCAAUGGCCACGACCUUGUCCACGGAUCCGCAGUGGGCCUUUACGCCGGACGACUACCUGCUCUUGUCCAUGUUUCUGAACGAGACGGCGACGACGACGAAUGCGACGACCUUCGCUUACUGGAGCCGGGCUACGGCAGUUGUGUUCCCGCACGCAACAACGAUUGUGUUCCCCUCUGUCGAGGCCAACGGUGUGUCGCCUGAGGCAUCAGGUGCUGGUGAGGACGAGGAGGCGGAGACAACGCGGGCGUCGUUGGAGUCGGAGCUGCACUCCUUGCGCGAGAUUGUGGCCAAGCGCUUCACAACCUCCGUGGACAGUCUGCGUCGCGUCACGUCGUACGAGUACGCGCGCCGGAGCCUGCAGAGCAGUGUCUGGGCUCUGCUUGGGUCAUUGGCUGGCUGCGGCUCGCCGUCGGUCGGGGAGCGUGUUGUAGAAGAGCUGGAGGCUGCUGUGGAAGGCAUGUUGCAGCCUUUGAACAUCGCGCUGCAGGAGCCGCUCGCGGGCUCGCACGGCAGAACCGCGAAUGCCGCCGGUGGCGCCAUCGGGGGUGGCGGUCGGUCUGGUAAGAAGACGUCGCCAAUUCUUCUUACUGCCCUCUUGCAGGACGUCGAAGAUGUGCUGUGGGCGAUUUCGCACAUCGCUGUUUCCGCCUCCUCUUCCAAGACGCGGCCUGUCUCCAGCUCGCUCGAGCAGUUGUGCUCGCGGGCCGCAGCCUGCAUUGUGGAGGUGCUGCUCAAGUUUGCGCAGCAGUACAUAGCGUUGCAACAGCAGCGCCAGAUGGAGUUCAUGGAAAAGGAAGGGGCGGACGGCGACGCCGGCGGUCGUGGCGGUGCGAGAGGUGCCAAGAAGGACGUCUUCCGCGUGUAUCACGUCCAGCGCAGCUUGCAGCGGGUGUUUAGUGUGGGACUGCAGCUGCGUCGCGUCGCUGGCAAGAGCAGCAAUGCGGCGGAGGUGCCCUUGGUGAGCGAGGCGGCUUUUACUGGUCUGCAGGCAGCUGUCUCUGCGUUCGGCGGUGCCGUGCUUGUCAUCAACCCCGUACAUCGCGCCAUGAUGACGGAGGACAUCGACGGGCACGUGGCCGCAGCGGCAGCGGUGGAGGAAGACACGACAAGCUCUUCGGGCUGGGGCGACGACAGCAGAGCUCCAGGCCGUCUUCGCGAGUGCCGUCGGGUUCUGGCCCCGCCUCAUCACCUCAUCACGAGCGGGGGAGCGGCCGGCGGGGGCGAGGGCGACUAUGACUUCUUCAACGAUGAAGAGGGCGACACCCUGCUUGGUCGCCGCGAGGCGUACUUGAAGACGUCCCUCGGCCCGGUCACAGCGUCCGCCUUGGUGGACAUGGUAAUGCUGACGGUGUCGCGCAUGGACUUCCUGAGCGAGGACGCGAUCCAGGAGCUGCAUCGCCGGGGCCUGGAGCAGAUGCAGCUCGCCGCCGCCUACCAGGCUCAGACGGAAGAAUUGGAAAAGUUGCGGCAGAUGGAACGGCAGGGUGUGGAGGCGAUCGCUGCCGGGAAGCUGAUCGAGCACGUGAAAGACAGCGCCGCCUUGCACAUGCGCGGCAUGCAGAUUCUCCGCAAGGUGUCCGCCCGCUCGCGGCUGGAGCGCGCUGCCUUCACCUCCGUUCUCGGAGCGUACCAGCAUGUGCGCGGCGAGGCUGAGGCGCGCAUCCGACUGACACAGGCGCUCAUCUCGCGCUGUCUCGUGCAGCUACCUCCGUCGCUGGCGGACAGUGCCAUGGAUGAGCUUCUCCUGCACCUCCGAAGGGAGCUCACGCGGGCCCAGGCGCAGAAGGAGGCUGCUGCUAGCGGGAAGACGAGCACGGCCACUGCGAACCCGAACGCCGAUGUGGCCUCUCUGUUUCUCGCCAGCUCCUACUAUCAGCUCACGCUGCAGGUGCUCUUCAUGUACUACGCCACACAGGCGCCAAUGCACGAGCGGAGCGCCACCUGGAACAGUACGCUGCUUCUCGGUGGAAGCGCCGCGGUGGCGCACGGCGGGGACGAUGGCACUCUCCUGGACGACGGCGGCCCCCACGGCGGUGGCGAGUUGAUGCAGACGGACGCCGGCUUCUCGGUUGAGGUGGAGAGCCCCAUUGCCUUUCUGUACGACGACGAUGUUCACCGCGCGAGCCAGGACGUCGGUCAGAAGCGGGCUCGUGAGGAGCCCGACGGGGUAGGCGGCGCCGGGGAGGAGGAUGCCGCGGCCGGCGCUCGUGCCACCACUGGCGAGCAGGACUUCGGCUUUCUGAAUGAUACCGUAGCGGCCCCAUCGACGUACAGCCACAUGCUGUGCCGCGUGCUGGAGCUUAUCCGGACGGCACGGCUCAACCUGAUUUUGUUGGAUGUCCUGCUGCAGGCCCCGGUGCUCACCCGGUAUGUGUGGUACCACCUGUACAAGCACUUCUGCCUCUCCGCCGACAAGGCCAGCUGCGUGAUUGGAAUGUGGCUCUUGCGCAACCUGGCUGUACGGCGGCCGGUGUACCGCACAUGCGCCGUGAACAUCCUGCUGCAGCUCUGUCUCAGCACGCACGACUACGCGCGCCGUUUCGCCAUCAAGGAGAUCGAUCAGCUGCUGUCGGCCACCACUGCUCAAGGAGCACCGGUGCUGGACGUAACGGCAGAGGGGCAUCUCCUCCGGUACGCGAAGAAGCAGCUCUUUGCCAUUCCAGCCUAUCAACGCUCCUCAUCCUCGAGGCUGAAGCGCGCCCAUGACGGCGGCGAUACGGCGAACGGGGAUGAGGCGGCGGCCAUCGCCGGCGAUACGGAUGAGGCCACCGCCAAAGACCGUGUGCGCAUGUCCACCGUGCUGAACCGCCGCCUCGGCCUCUUUCUGAUGCUGUGCGCGCGCCAGCCUCGCGAGCUGUUCCCUGCCCUACUCGAAGUCUUUCAGCAGUGCGUCGAGCGCGGAAACAUCCUCAUGAUGCAGCUCCUUCCAGAGAACGCCGACGUGCGUCGCAUGACGCAGCACCUGCUCAAGACGGACGCCUCCAACUUCGUGGCGGCCGUGAUGCCGCUGCUGCGCAAGCGCUGCCGCGAGGCGCGGCCCCUCGUCCAGUCCAUGCUGUGGGCGGUGCGGGAGCAACUCGGCGCCAUGGCACAGGAGGUCAACUCCGCGGCGAGCACCAUGUCCACAUCCGCUGACGGGAUCAAGGCCGCGAGUCAGGCAUCGACGACCGUCACCCUGGAGGCGCUGCGCAACAUCAGCAAUGCCGUGCUGGGCCACGCGAAAGCGAUGUACGAGCUCAGCGGCAUUCCACUGGGUAACUCGACUCAGUCGGCAUCUCUGCUUGACAUUCGCUACCUUGCACCGUUUCUCAGCUUUCUUCCUGCCAAGGAGCUGAAGCAGACCUACCUUAACGUCUUCCUUCUGUUUCUUCAGGUGCAGCUGCAGUUCCAGCGGCACUACCACAAUGCGUUUCACCGGCUGCCGGCGAAGGAGCGGAUGUAUGUGCUGGAGCCGGCAGAGCUGCGGGCUUUUGAGAUUCAGGUGCUGCGAGAGGUGUUCGUCAAGUGCCCUGUCUCCUUCCAAGACGGUGUGCCGCGUGGCCUGACGCGCGUGGACUUCUUUGUGUACCUCCAUCGAGCCCCGCAGGAGAGCCAGUCCAGGCUUGCCUCGUCCAUGCUCUCCCACCCGCUGCAUGGCGGAGCACUAGGCGGCACGACUGGCGGUGUUCUGGACGGCAUGCACAAUGGCGAGCAAACCUCCGCUGGUGCGGUGACCGGGAAGGAGAAGACGGAGGAGCUUCCGCCGAUCAGCGUGGGCACAACGAAGGAGGUGGUGAACCUGUGCUUCGAGCUGACGCGCAGCUUCGACAACACGACCGUGGAGAAGCUGUUCGGCCCGCCAGAGGUGCAGAAAGCGCUGCAGCAGCUCAUGCACCCGCCGCCGAUCCCAUCACAGCUCAUGGCAACUGUGCUGCAGGCGGCCACGCUGUUCCUGCGCAGCCGCUACACAGAAUUCAUCAACUUUGCUGUGCAGACGAUUCUAACGCCGCUAGAGCGAGCCUCCGUGUGGGACACGGACCCGCAGCUGUGGAAGGGCGUCGUGCUCUUCACGGAGCGCUACUACCGCGAGUGCAGCAACUUUCUCGUGAACUUACCUGACCAGGUCUUGACGCAGGCGCUGCGGGAGCACCCACAGCUGUGCGAGUAUUUCAAGGAAGAGCACGGUAACAACGCCUCCUUUAUGCACAUCCUCGGAAACCUGUGAUGGCGCCGGGCUCUGCACCCGGGAAGUGUGUAGGGGUCUGCAUGGAGCGACCUUCGGGCUAUCGAUGAGCAUUGGGGAUGGCGGCCGACGGAGGAAAGGACGUCGUGCAGGCGAGGGUGAUUGAUUGACUAAUGUAAGGGAGCGUGUGCCUGUGUUGAACACAUGCACCGAAGUUGUGCUACUCAGCCUGCGCUGCGCUGGUCGGCGUAGCAGGGUGCACACCUUGGCCAUAAUGAGACGCGGUCUUGGUUUGCAGGAGGCCUGUCAAGCGGCACAAGCAAAGGGCUUUGAUGAGUGUGAUGUGGGCAGCGGCCACUCUCUUUUCCGCGAGAGUGGCGCAGCUCCUUUGGUACGGACCCGCAUGUAGUGGGUGUACGGCUGCAACAG